AUGGGUGCUAGUGCAAGUGCAAUACCUCAUUCCUUAUACAAAGAGAUUAUGCACGAUAUUGCACCUGCUGAGAUGGAGGAAAUUGAUGUUAUAAUUAAGCUUGCCAAUAGAGACACUAUUUCACUAGUUGGGAUUGUUAGAGAUGUUGAAGUCUUGUGUGGGAAAGUUAAAUAUCCUGCUGAUUUUCUUGUUCUUCGUUCCCCACAAGAUGACUUUUGUCCCAUUAUAUUUGGUAGACCCUUCUUGAAUACUGUUAAUGCUAAGAUAAACUGCAAAAAGGAUGUAGUUACUAUUGGUUUGGGGGAUAUGUCUCAUGAGUUUAAUUUUGCUAAAUUUUGUAGACAACCCCAUGAUAAAGAAUUGCCUAGUAAAGAUGAAAUUAUUGGUCUUGCUUCUAUUGCCGUGCCUCCUAAUGAUCCUUUAGAACAAUAUUUUCUCGACCAUGAAAAUGAUAUGUUUAUGAAUGAAAGAAGGGAAAUAGAUGAAGUAUUCUUUAAACAGGGACCUAUUUUGAAACACAACUUGCCUGUUGAAAUCCUAAGGGAUCCUCCUCCACCUAAGGGUGAUCCCGUGUUUGAGCUUAAACCUUUACCUGAUACUCUUAAAUAUGCUUAUCUUGAUGGAAAAAGAUAUAUCCUGUUAUUAUUAGUGCUAACCUUUCAGAGCAUGAAGAAAAGAAAUUAUUGA
rnacentral:rRNA from 1 species